rnacentral:rRNA from 1 species
UCCUACGGGAGGCAGCAGUGGGGAAUUUUGGACAAUGGGCGAAAGCCUGAUCCAGCAAUGCCGCGUGUGUGAAGAAGGCCUUCGGGUUGUAAAGCACUUUUGUCCGGAAAGAAAUCCUUGGCUCUAAUACAGUCGGGGGAUGACGGUACCGGAAGAAUAAGCACCGGCUAACUACGUGCCAGCAGCCGCGGUAAUACGUAGGGUGCGAGCGUUAAUCGGAAUUACUGGGCGUAAAGCGUGCGCAGGCGGUUUGCUAAGACCGAUGUGAAAUCCCCGGGCUCAACCUGGGAACUGCAUUGGUGACUGGCAGGCUAGAGUAUGGCAGAGGGGGGUAGAAUUCCACGUGUAGCAGUGAAAUGCGUAGAGAUGUGGAGGAAUACCGAUGGCGAAGGCAGCCCCCUGGGCCAAUACUGACGCUCAUGCACGAAAGCGUGGGGAGCAAACAGGAUUAGAUACCCUGGUAGUCCACGCCCUAAACGAUGUCAACUAGUUGUUGGGGAUUCAUUUCCUUAGUAACGUAGCUAACGCGUGAAGUUGACCGCCUGGGGAGUACGGUCGCAAGAUUAAAACUCAAAGGAAUUGACGGGGACCCGCACAAGCGGUGGAUGAUGUGGAUUAAUUCGAUGCAACGCGAAAAACCUUACCUACCCUUGACAUGGUCGGAAUCCUGCUGAGAGGUGGGAGUGCUCGAAAGAGAACCGGCGCACAGGUGCUGCAUGGCUGUCGUCAGCUCGUGUCGUGAGAUGUUGGGUUAAGUCCCGCAACGAGCGCAACCCUUGUCCUUAGUUGCUACGCAAGAGCACUCUAAGGAGACUGCCGGUGACAAACCGGAGGAAGGUGGGGAUGACGUCAAGUCCUCAUGGCCCUUAUGGGUAGGGCUUCACACGUCAUACAAUGGUCGGAACAGAGGGUUGCCAACCCGCGAGGGGGAGCUAAUCCCAGAAAACCGAUCGUAGUCCGGAUUGCACUCUGCAACUCGAGUGCAUGAAGCUGGAAUCGCUAGUAAUCGCGGAUCAGCAUGCCGCGGUUGAUACGUUCCCGGGCCUUGUACACAC